UGGGGAAUAUUGCACAAUGGGCGCAAGCCUGAUGCAGCCAUGCCGCGUGUAUGAAGAAGGCCUUCGGGUUGUAAAGUACUUUCAGUCGGGAGGAAGGUGGUAAGGUUAAUAACCUUGGCAAUUGACGUUACCGACAGAAGAAGCACCGGCUAACUCCGUGCCAGCAGCCGCGGUAAUACGGAGGGUGCAAGCGUUAAUCGGAAUUACUGGGCGUAAAGCGCACGCAGGCGGUCUGUCAAGUCGGAUGUGAAAUCCCCGGGCUCAACCUGAGAACUGCAUUCGAAACUGGCAGGCUAGAGUCUUGUAGAGGGGGGUAGAAUUCCAGGGGUAGCGGUGGAAUGCGUAGAGAUCUGGUGGAAUACCGGUGGCGAAGGCGGCCCCCUGAACGAAGACUGACGCUCAGGUGCGAAAGCGUGGGGAGCAAGCAGG
rnacentral:rRNA from 1 species